AAAAAAAAAAAAAAAAAAAAACUCGAGAACAAGGCGUAAUCUCGGUUCUUCAAUUUUCCCCCUCCGGUAAACAUCAUCACCACCACCAGCAGUCACCAUCCUCUCUCUCUCUCUCUCUCUCUCUCUCUCUCUCUCUCUCCAGAACGCUUCGAACUGAAAAAACCCUCACCGGAAGUGCUCUUUGUUUCUUCUUUGGCGAUGGCAACCGAUCUGUAAAGGAGGGUUUUCUUCGAGCUAGGGUUUGUUGAGGAAGAUGACGAAGGACCUCCCUUCUCGUCGGGCCUCCCUUUCACAUAUCGGAGGUAUCCGAUCUCAACACAUCCAAGGAUUUUCAUUACCACUUGCGUCAACGAUCGAAUCGGAGGAGAAGGCGAAGGGCGGCGAGUGGCGAUAGGGUUUUUGUCAGUGAUUUUUUCCUUCCAGAUCUUGAAACCAACAAGGAACUUCGAAUCUAUAAUGUGAUCUCUUUCGGUCGUAGCUCAACAUCUUUGUCGGAGGAGCGAGGGUUUUAGACGGUGGUUUCAAAGUUGGAUUAUUUGUUGUUUGCAGAUGACCGACAACACAAAACCAUGUCUCUUCGGAUAUCGAUUUGUCUUCCUGAUUGAAGGUUGGUGGUGACGGAGAAUAUGGGGGCUAAAUAUGAAAACCCUAAUUAGAUUAUUCAUGGGAUUUAAACUGUGGUGGUGGUGACUUUUUACAUGUGUAUGUGGUAUAGACAGGCGAUGGUGGUGACAAUUAAAGGAGGCAGCGAAAUGGGUGACACUAAUGGCGUUCAGAUCAGAGGUGUUCUGAUCGGUUAUGGUGGGUUCUCAUAAUCAUUCAUGAGGUGGUGAAGAUUACGGGUGUCAGAAAAUCGAUGUUGGUGGUGUUGAACUGGUGGUAGGUGAUGCAGGUGGUGGUCCGAAAAAUUAGGCUUGAAUUCAUCAAAAUUUUUAUACUCUUUUAUUCUAAGCUCGUGGGGAUGUUAGACGGGUGGUGGUGAUGGUGGUCCAAUGGUAGUUUGGUGGUGUUCCAAUGGUGAUACGGUGACUGCUCCGGGGGUGUUCCUAGAUCUCCGACGACUUGCUCAGGUGAACUAAAGAGAUCAAGUGGAAGAGGGUAUAAGGUGUGGGGUGUUUUUUUGUUAGAAAAAUGACAGUAAUUAAAAAAGGGAAAAUAUCAAAGCCAAAUCCAUUUUUAAAAAAGUUUUGAAAAGUUUGGAACAUGUUAGCAACAAAAUAAAAUUUUUGGACAACUGAUGUUAUUCCAAACCUUUUUGGAUCAAAAUAACAAUUUUUGACAUAUUAUUUUUGCAAUUUGGUAACAAAAUAUUAUGUACAUUACUAGAGAAUCUUUUUACAAACCCCACCACAUACUUAAAACAAUUUAUAGAUGCAUACACUUAACAUUAUUGCAAACACAUGAUAAUGGACAAACUAUAUGUCUUAGAUCACGCACAUAAGUGCUACUUUAUUAGUCAUCUAAACCAACUCUUUUCAAAUAUUGUAAAACUUGUAAAUAAUACUUUUUGUUAAACAAUGUUUUAUUUAUUUAAUCAUCUGUUUAUUAUAUUAACAUAUACAAUAUAAGCCUUUUUUUUAUAUUGUUUUCAUUCAUUUUGGUUCUUUUAUACGUUAUAUUAACUUUAAUUUUGAACUUUAAUUAUUAUUUGAUUAACAAAUAACUAUUGUUUAUUUAAAAUAUAUAUGAUUAUAAACAUAUUACAUUAAAAGAAAUAUAUAUAUAUAUAUAUAUNNNNNNNNNNNNNNNNNNNNNNNNUAUAUAUAUAUAUGGGUAAAUUACACGAAUGGUCCCUAUGGUUUAGGGUAAUCUGCGUGUUUAGUCCCUAACAACUUUUUUAUUUAACUCGGACCGUCCCUAAUUUAUGUUUUUGUUGCACGCUUCGUCCCUGUCCGUUCUAAAAAGACUAUUUUACCCUUAGGCCCCGUUUGAUAGUUGCUGAUUGAGAAAGUGCUGACUGGGAAAAGUCUGUCUUGGUAAGAAGAAAUCAUGACCGAGUAAGAAAUCAUGCUGUUUGAUUGUCUAUCUGACUGAAUGUACUGACUGGUGAAGAAGGACCAUUUUACCCUCCCACUUCAAAUACAAACCACCACCUCAAUAUACUCUGGAAUCACCAAUUCCGGAGUUGUCUUCAAUUCCAACACAUAAUCCAUUUCCGCCUUCGGUCCCUAUUUGAUGCCAUUGCAAUCCCAAUUUCAUCUCAAUUCUUUUCCACUUUCAAUUCAAUCCCUCAACACCCACAACAAAAAGCCAUCAUCUUUCGCUGGAAUCUACAAUUCCAUCCUCCAAACACAAAUCAUCUUUCGCUGGAAUCUACAAUUCCAUCCUCCAAACACUACUAUGGAACAAGAGGCAGGUACAUAACAUCAAAAAAUCGAAAAUUUUAGAGAAGUUUAAAAGGAAUCAAUUUCAUGAAUCAAUAGAAAUCAAUUUCAAAAAUCAGACUAUUCAGAAUAGAAACCUUCCUGAUCAAACAGGAACAUAACAUCAAAAAAUCGAAAAUUUUAGAGAAUUUUAAAAGGAGUCAAUUUCAUGAACCAAUAGAAAUCAAUUUCAAAAAUCCGAUUAUUCAGAACAGAAAGGGUAUAAAGAAAUAUGUGAACAAAAUUAAUUCAUGAAUCAAUUUCUGAAUAGAAAGGUAAACAUGCGAUUGAAGGAGAUGGUUUCAUGAAUCAAUUUAAAAAACGAUUUUCAUGAACAAGAUGGUUUCAUGAAUCGGUUUCACGAAUUCAUGGAUCAAAUUCAAAAACGAUUUCAUGAAAUUGGUUUUAUGAAUCAAUUAAAGAAGAAGAAUAGAGGCCUGUAAGAGGAGAAGACAUACCUGAUGAGAAGGGGAGAAGGAGUCGAUCGGUGGGGGGAAGGGGCGCAGAGGCGUGAAAGAGGAACGUAGGGAAGGACACAAUUGGUAACACUUCCUUCUUUCUCAGUCAGUCGUUGGUUUUCUUCUUACCGAGCCAGAACCUUCUUUCCGAGUCAGAUGGGCCAAGAUUGAUUUACCAAACAAAUUUGGCUGACCGAGUCAGCAAAAAUUGUGUGACCCAGUCCAGUCAGAUGCAUAACAAACAUGCCCUUAAUAACUUAUUUAUUUAUUUAUUACUUAUUCUUUUACCUUUUAAUAUUAAAAAUAUAUUUAAAAAAAUUUUAAAAAAAAAAGUAAAAAGAAUCCCUAAAAUCCUAAGCAACGCCUCCGAGCCUCCAUGGCUCCUCCUACAAAUCUCAUCUUCCAGCAUCACCACUCUCUAACUUCAUCUCUGACGACUCCAAUAACAUCAUACAUGGUUGGUGAGAAAAACCUUCAUCUCCUUUCGUUCUUCACUGGUGGGACUAACUUUUCUCUCUACUCCGCCUCUCUGACCCUCUAUUUCACUUGAAAGAAUACGUCACCUAAAACUCCAAUUGCCUUGCCCACGUUUAUUCCCAAUCUCUCGUCUUCUUCCUUCAAGGUUUUCCCAUAAACUUCUUCCUUCAUGGCCUCCGACCCCCUCUACUAUCAUACGCCAGCAACAUCUAUUGCCAACGCCACCAGAGAAGGCAGAGGUGAAGCAGACACUGAGACAAUACAAAUUUAAGCAUUGGCCUCUUUCUCUGUCUCGGAUUGGGGAGCAUGUUAUCGAACCAGAAGUGAGAUUUAAUGUUUGAUUGCAGUUUCGACACCCAAAACAAUCCUACAACACUGGUUAGGUUUGAUUUAAGGUUUGGUUUUCAAUUUUAGGUUUGAUUGAAUUCUAGGUUUGAAUUAAGUUUCACAUUCAAAUUUCAGUAUGAUUUCAUGUUUGAUUCCAGUUGUAGGUUUGAAUUCAUAUUUGAUUUUGAAUUUUGGGUUUGAUUUGUGUUUCACUUUCGAUUUUAGUUUCAGUUUCAGGUUUGCAUCAUGGAUCAAUUAAAGGUUCAAGUUCAAUUCAUUAUGGUGAUUACAGUAAUACGCUUCACUGUAGUCGGAUAAGAAAGUUGUGGGGGAGGUGGAGGUGGAGCAGGAGCAGACACAGUCAAUGUGUGAGAUUUUCCGGUGACUGAACACAAUGAGGGUAUGGUGGUGUAGGCUCUUGAAUUAUACCGAUAUAUAUAUAUAUAUAUAUAUAUAUAUAUAUAUAUAUAGAUUGANN
rnacentral:lncRNA from 1 species